GUAUUGUUGGUUCACCCAUAUAGUGGAAGGAUGGUCGAACCUGUUGGUUUUCAACCGCUACGACCCGGGUUCGAUUCCCGUAUUGGACA